UGCUACCAGAACUGACUCGCUUCAAAGUGACGGAUGAAACCCAUAUGGAGAUAUUCCUGGGGUGGGUAGGCCAGUUGGAAGACAGAGUGUUUACACCUGAGAGAGGACUUGAGAAUUUUACUCAGUCACGUUGCUCACUGCUGCGCACUCCUGCAGACGCAUCCCAGUGGACUCUGCGCUGCAUCCCCAGAGUACAGCGAGUUUCCCGCCUCCCGUUAGAGAUCCAACACAUAUUUUUUUUGAAAGAAGAAACUGAUGGAAGACAGGAAGCAAAAAGGAGAGGAAGGAAAGGGAUAGGAAGGAGGGGAAGGAAAGGGAAAGGAAGGAAAAGAAAGGAAAGUGAACUUGAAAUCCUACAAGGUCUCAAAGUCAAAAAACAUGUAAGUCAAUUAUCACAGAAAAUAAAAGAACUGCUACAAGGGCAA
rnacentral:lncRNA from 10 species